AUUGAACGCUGGCGGCAGGCCUAACACAUGCAAGUCGAGCGGAUGAAGGGAGCUUGCUCCUGGAUUCAGCGGCGGACGGGUGAGUAAUGCCCAGGAAUCUGCCUGGUAGUGGGGGAUAACGUCCGGAAACGGGCGCUAAUACCGCAUACGUCCUGAGGGAGAAAGUGGGGGAUCUUCGGACCUCACGCUAUCAGAUGAGCCUAGGUCGGAUUAGCUAGUUGGUGGGGUAAAGGCCUACCAAGGCGACGAUCCGUAACUGGUCUGAGAGGAUGAUCAGUCACACUGGAACUGAGACACGGUCCAGACUCCUACGGGAGGCAGCAGUGGGGAAUAUUGGACAAUGGGCGAAAGCCUGAUCAAGCCAGGCCGCGUGUGUGAAGAAGGUCUUCGGAUUGUAAAGCACUUUAAGUUGGGAGGAAGGGCAGUAAGUUAAUACCUUGCUGUUUUGACGUUACCAACAGAAUAAGCACCGGCUAACUUCG
rnacentral:rRNA from 1 species